rnacentral:rRNA from 1 species
UUAAAUUGAAGAGUUUGAUCAUGGCUCAGAUUGAACGCUGGCGGCAGGCUUAACACAUGCAAGUCGAACGGUAACAUAAGUGCUUGCACUUGAUGACGAGUGGCGGACGGGGGAGUAAUGUAUGGGGAUCUGCCAGAUGGAGGGGGACAACAGUUGGAAACGACUGCUAAUACCGCAUAAAGUUGAGAGACCAAAGUACGGUUCCGCGAGGACGUGCGCCAUUUGAUGAACCCAUAUGGGAUUAGCUAGUUGGUGGGGUAAAGGCUUACCAAGGCGACGAUCUCUAGCUGGUCUGAGAGGAUGACCAGCCACACUGGAACUGAGACACGGUCCAGACUCCUACGGGAGGCAGCAGUGGGGAAUAUUGCACAAUGGGGGGAACCCUGAUGCAGCCAUGCCGCGUGUAUGAAGAAGGCCUUCGGGUUGUAAAGUACUUUCGGUAGUGAGGAAGUUUUGGGUAUGAAAAGUGCCUAGAAUUGACGUUAGUUACAGAAGAAGCACCGGCUAACUCCGUGCCAGCAGCCGCGGUAAUACGGAGGGUGCGAGCGUUAAUCGGAAUGACUGGGCGUAAAGGGCAUGUAGGCGGAUAAUUAAGUUAGGUGUGAAAUCCCUGGGCUCAACCUAGGAAUUGCAUUUAAAACUGGUUAUCUGGAGUAUUGUAGAGGAAGGUAGAAUUCCACGUGUAGCGGUGAAAUGCGUAGAGAUGUGGAGGAAUACCGGUGGCGAAGGCGGCCUUCUGGACAGAUACUGACGCUGAGAUGCGAAAGCGUGGGGAGCAAACAGGAUUAGAUACCCUGGUAGUCCACGCUGUAAACGAUGUCGAUUUGGAGUUUGUUGCCUAGAGUGAUGGGCUCCGAAGCUAACGCGAUAAAUCGACCGCCUGGGGAGUACGGCCGCAAGGUUAAAACUCAAAUGAAUUGACGGGGGCCCGCACAAGCGGUGGAGCA